CAGUAGCCGCGGUAAAACGAACCGAGCGAACGUUGUUCGGAAUCACUGGGCUUAAGGGGCGCGUAGGCGGGCUAUCAAGUCUGGGGUGAAAUGCCACGGCUCAACCGUGGAACUGCCUCAGAUACUGACGGCCUCGAGGGAGGUAGGGGCAUGUGGAACUGUAGGUGGAGCGGUGAAAUGCGUUGAUAUCUACAGGAACUCCGGUGGCGAAAGCGACGUGCUGGACCUUCUCUGACGCUGAGGCGCGAAAGCUAGGGGAGCAAACGGGAUUAGAUACCCCUGUAGUCCCUGUCUCUUAUAC
rnacentral:rRNA from 1 species